CAGAGAAUAGUUUAAUUAAAAUAUUAGUUUUGGGGAUUAAUGAUAGGGAAAUUCCUUUUCUCUGA
rnacentral:tRNA from 1 species